rnacentral:rRNA from 1 species
GAUCCUGGCUCAGAAUCAACGCUGGCGGCGUGCCUAACACAUGCAAGUCGCACGAGAAAGUGGAGCAAUCCAUGAGUAAAGUGGCGCACGGGUGAGUAACACGUGAAUCAUCUACCUUCGAGUGGGGAAUAACUGGGAGAAAUCUCAGCUAAUACCGCAUAAUACCUACGGGUCAAAGCAGCAAUGCGCUUGAAGAGGAGUUCGCGGCAGAUUAGUUAGUUGGCGGGGUAAUGGCCCACCAAGACGAUGAUCUGUAUCCGGCCUGAGAGGGCGCACGGACACACUGGAACUGAAACACGGUCCAGACUCCUACGGGAGGCAGCAGUGGGGAAUUUUGCGCAAUGGGGGAAACCCUGACGCAGCAACGCCGCGUGGAGGAUGAAAUCCCUUGGGAUGUAAACUCCUUUCGAUGGGGAAGAUAAUGACGGUACCCAUAGAAGAAGCCCCGGCUAACUUCGUGCCAGCAGCCGCGGUAAUACGAGGGGGGCAAGCGUUGUUCGGAAUUAUUGGGCGUAAAGGGUGCGUAGGCGGUCUGACAAGUCUGAUGUGAAAUCUAUGGGCUCAACCCAUAGUCUGCAUCGGAAACUGUCGGGCUUGAGUAUGGGAGAGGUGAGUGGAAUUUCCGGUGUAGCGGUGAAAUGCGUAGAUAUCGGAAGGAACACCUGUGGCGAAAGCGGCUCACUGGACCAU